rnacentral:lncRNA from 1 species
AAACCUUAAGUGCAUGAAUUGUCCCACACUCUGAUAAGUCCAUUCACAUAGUGAAAGAAGUGGCUCUUUUGUAUUUUGAUAUUUUGUAUUUCGUUUCCACUUCUGGCCUCAGUUAUAUGUGUAAUUGGAACUCAUAUAUUUUGUAAGAGAUUUGUAAUCAUUUGCUCUGUUGGAUAUAAUUAACUAUUAUGCACUCGUAAUCUAUUUCUGUAUCUGGCACCCUUAUGCCUUAAUUUGCAUUUGGGAUAUCACAGAUGGUAUC